AUACGGAGGGCGCGAACGUUGCUCGGAAUCAUUGGGCGUAAAGCGCACGUAGGCGGCUUGAUAAGUCGGAUGUGAAAGCCCUCGGCUCAGCCGAGGAAGUGCAUUCGAUACUGUCAGGCUUGAGUAUGGGAGAGGGUUGCGGAAUUCCCGGUGUAGAGGUGAAAUUCGUAGAUAUCGGGAGGAACACCAGCGGCGAAGGCGGCAGCCUGGACCAAUACUGACGCUGAGGUGCGAAAGCGUGGGGAGCAAACAGGAUUAGAAACCCUAGUAGUCC
rnacentral:rRNA from 1 species